rnacentral:rRNA from 1 species
UACGGAGGGUGCGAGCGUUGUCCGGAAUCACUGGGCGUAAAGGGCGCGUAGGCGGCCUGAUAAGUAGGGGGUGAAAUCCUGCGGCUUAACCGCAGGGCUGCCUUCUAAACUGUCAGGCUAGAGCACAGUAGAGGCAGGUGGAAUUCCUGGUGUAGCGGUGAAAUGCGUAGAGAUCGGGAGGAACAUCAGUGGCGAAGGCGGCCAUCUGGGACAACACUGACGCUGAGGCACGAAAGCGUGGGGAGCAAACAGGG